rnacentral:rRNA from 1 species
GAUGAACGCUGGCGGCGUGCCUAGUACAUGCAAGUCGAGCGAACGGACGAGAAGCUUGCUUCUCUGAUGUUAGCGGCGGACGGGUGAGUAACACGUGGAUAACCUACCUAUAAGACUGGGAUAACUUCGGGAAACCGGAGCUAAUACCGGAUGAUAUUUUGAACCGCAUGGUUCAAAAGUGAAAGACGGUCUUGCUGUCACUUAUAGAUGGAUCCGCGCUGCAUUAGCUAGUUGGUAAGGUAAUGGCUUACCAAGGCAACGAUGCAUAGCCGACCUGAGAGGGUGAUCGGCCACACUGGAACUGAGACACGGUCCAGACUCCUACGGGAGGCAGCAGUAGGGAAUCUUCCGCAAUGGGCGAAAGCCUGACGGAGCAACGCCGCGUGAGUGAUGAAGGUCUUCGGAUCGUAAAACUCUGUUAUUAGGGAAGAACAUAUGUGUAAGUAACUGUGCACAUCUUGACGGUACCUAAUCAGAAAGCCACGGCUAACUACGUG